AAGCAGCACGCCAGAGAGCGCCGCCGGGCCCCCACGCCUGCCGGGCCCAGGGCCGCCCAGCCUCGCACUGUCCGCCGGCCCUCACGGCUCUGAGGGCCAGGCCUCUGCCGGCCGGGGCAGCGCGGCGGGAGUGUCACCGCCCGCCACCGUGAGGGGACCCAGAGACGGCGGCGCCGUUCCGCACGCCCUCGGGCCGCCGUAGCCCGCACCGGGCCCGGGAGGGAAGUGACGAUGGCAUGCAGUGAUGGCCUGCCCUGGGGCCCGGCCUGCAGGUGAGCAGAAAUGGCCUGCGCUGGGGCACAGCUACGAGGGCAGCCGUGGCCUCACAGCUCCUUUUCACCGCAAGGCAGCUCGGACAGGUGGCCUCGGACAGAGCAGACCCUGCCUUUUGGAGUUUGUGCUCCCUCUGCCAGACUAGCUGCAGAGUGACUGAAGCACUUGAGUCCAAGUCCCAUCUUGGCUAUUAAACUAUAUCUCUGCUAUAAGUUGGUUUUGGCUUGUACAAAUUUGACUGGAGGUGACCUCGUGCUCAACUGCAGUGGUUUAUUGCACAAUUAAAUUUUCUCACCUACUUCACUGGCAAGGAUUCUUUUUCUUCAAAGAAGGCAAAUAGGUACUUGCUUCAUAAAAGGCUUUGUUUUGUGAAAGCACUAUGAAGAAGCUGGAGUAAUUAUUAAAAGCAAAGAAUUAUUAAAAAGGCUUGAUCUCUACUGGAUGUACUAUCUGCUCUCAAAAAUCUGUGUUGGUAGAGACAGUUCAACAAGAUUUUCCAGCGUUGAACAUUGUUUAAGAGUAAGAACAAACUGUCAACAACAGGCAAUUUUCCAUUGCCGACUAACCUGAAAUGAUCUCAUUCUGUGUACUUCAGUGCACAUAGAAGACAGAGACGAAUUCUAUAGAUGCUGAUGACUGCAAGAGGGAAGAUCAAGCAUGGGUUGAAAUUGGUCAAGACAGUAAACCUUGGGACUGGCAGGACAUUUGUACGAGCCUCGUUUCCUUGGGAAUGCACAAUUGAAUUAUGUCUCUCAACCAUGCUGGUGCAAGCGCUGUCACCUCUGCAGGGCUCAGUGGCUCCAGAUACAGGUCUAAAAAAGGUGACAACCAAGAAUGGCAGAGGUUGAAAGUAAACCUUACUGGAAAGGCAGCAGGAGGCAGAUGUAUGCAAGGACAAAGGAAGAAGGCAGGCAAAACCACGCAGGUAAUUUUGAGAGCUGUGAGUUUCUUAUAUCUGCAAAAGAUCAUUCCCAGUAUAAACAGAGGCAUGUUGUGGGAGGAAAAAUUACUUAGGGAUAUGGAAAGAAAUAUCUUACCAGAAUUUGUUUUAAAUAAUUUUAAAAAUAUUUACUCUAAUCUUCACUUGAAGUUAAUUUCCUCGGCAGGAGCAGAAUUCUCAAGGUGUAUUUUAACACAAAGCACUCAAACUACCAGACUGGCUUACUACUUAAAAUUAAGCAGGUAAAUCGACUUUAUACAAGACUCAGGUGUAAAACUCUUUUAGCAAUCAUCUAGACAAAGGAAACAAUUGCCACGUGCCGUAAAUAGUUUCACAAAGGUUUAAUUUUAAGUAGGUAAUUGGUAAGAAGGCUGCUGGCUCCUGGCAUUUGCAGGUUUCCCAGCAGCGUGGUACUAGCAGCUUUGCUGUCCUUAAUGGAUGCAUACAGACAACUGCACGCUCCUCCAAGAACGUGUACAUAUUGCUAUUUUUUUAUUGCCGAUCAUUGGAUAAGAUAGUGAGAUAGAUAUAAUUUUAAUGCAAUAUUUUUAGUACAAAAAUGGAGAUAAUUUCUUCAAAAUAAUGAGACUGUUUUUUCCGUGGUUUUUUUUUCAUUGUUUCUAAGCUUUCUUCCAUUAGCUUUGUUUCCAUGUGAUAAAGACACAAGUUUCCUAUGUUUAUUCUUUUUUACUUUGACAAUUAUGAUGGUUACUCCUGAGUCUUGAUUUGUUGGCUCUAACAGGAUACUCCUUUUCGUCAUUAUAAAGUACCAGUGGAAAGAAGCAUUUAUUUGGCAAAAGUAGGCAAAAAGUAAAAUAAAUAGUUGGUCUAGUAUAGUGUUAAACAAGCUACCCUACUUCGUAUUUGGAGGACUCCCAAAUCAAUCCACAUGUAUAUACAACAUAGAGGAAGCAAAGAACACAGAAAACAGUUUUAGCAACUUCAGAAAGAGAAGUGCAACAGAAGUUGGAUGUAAUAAUCAGACUGGGGUUAUUAGUGGUUAUUUUUUCCCCUUGUCAUAAUGUCAUUUUUUCUAUGGGCAAUGGACUUAGCUCACAGUGCAGGAUUUCUUUCCAAAUGUUAUAUCAAAAGUACUUCCAUGCACGUGAGUGAAGGUGAGCACAGAAAGCCCCACCAAUGUCACCAGUAUCUCAGGUCAGGAUAAUAACUACCCAUCUAAUGAAAAGUCACUGCAAGAAGCACCAAACUUAUUAGUAAUAACAAGUAAUUAGUAAUAACAGAUUGUUGGAGAAGCAUAAUUUAACCUUUAUUUUAGUCUGAGGCCAAACCCAGCAGUCUGGAUCCUUAUAAAGCACUUAAUAUUAUGCCAGAUAAAUAGGCACCAGUGAGCCCAAGGCUUUGAACAUCGAUUUUAUCCAGACUUCAAAAAUCCUGUGUGAAUCUUCAGAUGGAACUGGGCUUUUAAAAGUCUAGAACUGCUGUCUAAAUGAGCUGUGACAGAAAUUCUGAGACGGUCUAACAUGUAACCUCAUUUCCAGUCUGGUUGUCUCUUCCUUUGCUUCCUUAAUUUAAUUUAACUUCCUUCCUUCCUUCCUUCCUUCCUUCCUUCCUUCCUUCCUUCCUUCCUUCCUUCCUUCCUUCCUUCCUUCCUUCCUUCCUUCCUUCCUUCCUUCCUUCCGAUUCAGGGCCGUAAUCAAUGUUAAUUGCAUGUAUUUGUUUUGGAUAAUUGUUUGAAUGACUCUUUAUCAUAAAAUAAACAUUUCCUGUAACCGAUUGUGUUAGAACUGGCAAUGAGGAAUGCAGACCAAUGAUUUUAAAGGAGUACACUGGAUUUGUUUUCACCUCUCACUUUCAACUCAUAGAACUUGGUUAUGGAACUAAAGUUAUGCGUUUGCUUUUCUCUGCAUUAUUUCCUCAUAUGAUGCUGGCAGUCAUGCUUAUUUACUAAAGUAAACAAAAGAGCCUAUAGUGUUGAUAGCUACGAUACCAAGUUAUUUAACUAAUGCCAUGAAUGUGCCUUAAAUGAUGAGAAAUUACAAGUAUUUUUUACUGUAUUUGUUUUUUAUUUUAAGAAGCGACAGUAAUGCAGUAGCUGUAUGUAUAACACCUUCCAAAAAAACCCACAAUCUAAAUUUAAUUAUGCUAAGUGUAAUCAUGGGAAUCUAAAUGUAUUAGCGUAAGAAAUUUUAAUUCUGCUCAAUAAAUAGAAGCAGGCUGAGUUAUCUUAUAAAAAAAUGUCAGAUAUAAGCUUUCUUUUGUGAGACCUUUAUUUUGCUCUCCAGAGUUAGUCAAAAUCUGGGAUUUUGACUUCACAGAUAAGCAAUAAUCCAUAAUUUAAUCCACUUUUCCUCAAAUGUAAAUAUUUUUCUUACUGAAUCUACAUUCUUUAAAUUCCAGGCAAUAUUACUUGUUCAGCAAAAUGCUAAAUUCUUGCUGUACUCUGAGAUUAGAAGGCACGUGAUCUUGCAGAAGAAGCAGGAGACAGUUAAAAAAUCCAUGACUGAUUUCAAACCUGACAAUUCUUAAUGGAUUGAGACUCAGAAGGCAUAAAGUGGCAUCAGCCUUUAUGGUUAACUGAAUAGAAGUCUCUAAUAUUUCAUAAAAAUAAUCUUUAAUAUUGAUAAUGACAUAGAAACAAGGUGAAUCUGGUGUUUUGCAGUCUGGUGAAAUUGCAUGCAUUUACAUGAAUGCAAGCUUUAUUAGCAAGGGAUACAAAGAAAAGUAGUACAUUUAUUAGAAGAUGCAGAUGCCAUGGGAAUUUUCAAAGAUUAAAGAGGCUAACUUAUCUUUAGUAUAUACUCUCAGCUAUUUCAGUGAUGCAAUGAGUGACCUUGUCCUUCUCAUAUAACUACCAAAAAGUAUGCAAAAAUUACAUAAUCAAGCAGCAUAAUGGGUUGCAACAAAACAAUUUCUCAAAGGGUAUUUAAAAGCAGUUUGAGAGUACUAGGAUUGGGGUGAUACAGUUUGUCUUGCAGUGUGGUCUGUCCCCUCUUUGGACAUCACUGGGAAUCAGUUAGUCAAUAAUAAUUCAGUUAUAAAAUUGCUUCAAUGUGUUGCUUUCCAGAGCAAGAUCUACUCGCGUGAACAGCAGUCCUCGCAAGAGAAUGGAGAAAUAGCAUCCUGGGAUGCAUCCAAAUCAGUUGUUACUGCAGCCCAAGGUGUCUGAUUAUGAUUUCACCAGUCAGUGCUACUGUGUCAAGUGGUGCUAAUAAACGGUUACAAGGGGAAAAGAAACCGUGCUGCAUUAGCGAGGAAAGCGGGUACUGAGAUAGAAAGAGGGAAAAAGCCUCACAUAAUGUUAUGUGAUUACACAAUAGAGGAACUGAGCCUGGGAUGUGUUUUAGAAACCUACUUCUAGCUACAUAUGGGUAUUUUAAAGUAAAUAAAAUAUUGUGAAAGCUUUUUUUUCUGUUUUGUUGGUGUACUAUUGCUCUCUUUAGUUUUUGUACGUGACAUCUUGGCAGUGUAUCGUUUCAGUGGUUAACUGAUAAAUGCUACCCCCACAGGAUUGUUUCCAGCCCCACCUGCUGCUCUGAAACUCACCAUUUCCAGCUAAUUCUGGAGCUGGCUCUGUAUUUGGUUCUGGCUAAAUUCUUCUUAUGUUUCGGCUUGGAAAUUAAGGUAAAGGCUAAAUUUUAUUUAACCAGGAUUUUUUGUUUUCUAGGAUUUCUAAUAAAGCAGUAGAUAUUUUACAGAUAUUUAGCAAUUUUCCUCCUGCGGAGUCGAAAUGUUUUAUAACUACGUCAUGCGGGCCCGGGCCUUGCGGGGGGACGGGCGCCACCGGGUGGAUUGCCGAGGUACAGCCGCGAUUUGCCUCCGAGGGUGACCCGAGUCUUGCGCUGCAUCACCGAGUCGCAGAAUAUUCUCCGCUGGAAGCGACCCGCAAGGAUCACAGAUCCCUUACGCGUUUACAUCUCAACGAUCUUUACAUCGGUCUCCUGUACCUAAGGAUUAGAAUUCGGCCUUUAAAAACAUGAUGGUCUUGUGCUGAGACCACUGUCCAUCCAAUGGAGAAAUACGCUUUCAUAAUCUCCUGUGCUGUUUACUCACUACUUUGCCUGAUAUUGGGGUUUAAGACCAUCUUUGAUUCUCCAUCUAUAUUAGAGCAGCAGUUAUCUCAAAAAUAUCCAAUGGGUUAUUACAGUUUAUGUAUUCUUCAUGCCACAGAUAACGUGAAAGGAAGUACUAUGAAGGCAUUGGCUAAAACAUGAUGGAUCACAUAGGAAGCAUCAAUAAGGCAAGAGAAAUAUGUUCAACAGAAAACUGUAUGUCUUAGAGAAGAAAAUAUAAUAGAUCAGUAAAAGAAAAGCAUGAUUUCAAACAAUUUUUCUAUCCGGAUUUUGGAUGAGGCCUUCAUUUAUGCUCAUUGACAUUCCAAAUAGGUCCUUAAUUUUUAAAUAAUGUCUAGGAUGUGAAAAUCUAUAUGUAAAAAUUAUCUUUUUAUCCAGAAGAACAGUUUGUUUCUGUGAAAAAAAACUAAUUUUUCAUGUGUGAAUAUGUCUGAUUAUUAGUAGUAAAGGCAAUGGUGUUUUAAAAGAAAUAAUCCUAUUUCCGGUUUCAUGAAUAUUGAAUCAUUUUCAACCUUUUUCUACGUAACAGCUUACAAUGACAGAACCCACCCUCCUUAUUUUCCCGUAUACAAAGCCUAGCUAAUAGUGUGAGGACAUUUCAUAAAAUAUAGGGAGAGUUUUCCUAGAAGGAGACUGAACUUGAUUUUUACUUCUCCUAGGCAAGGAUCAGUUGAUCACGAAGCGAUGCAGUUCUUGUGUUAUGCAGCAAAUUCUUCUUACCGAUCCAGUUAUGUAAGAAUGAUCUGGCAGCCCCGUGUUUAGCCUAAUGAUGUGUUUCCUGAGUUUCCGACUGAGUAUUUGCAUUUGUGUUCUUCAUUUACUUCUUCUAUAGGAGCAUCAAUGGCUGUUACACUUUCAAUUCCCAGCCUGUGGGUGCUGGUUGCCAGCAGCUCAGCAGGAGCCAGAUGAUGACAAAAGGAGAUGGUCCCUCUGAGCUCACCAUCAGUGCAGCCUCACCACACGGUCCGUGUGCAGCACUGGGCCCCAGCGUUGGAGAAUGACAUGAAGGUCCUCAGAUGCUGCUGGAGGAGGCAGCCGAGCUACAGUGCUCAUCCUAAGUCAAGGACUCUUCCUGUGCUCUGUCAGCAAGGAGGUGCACAAGAAACUGGGGAGAAGCAUGUCCAGGACAGCGGGUCUGAACUGGCCAGAGGGAUACUCCAUACCACAGACAUGACAGGCCAUGUUAAUAUGUAUGAACUACAGGUUCUGUAAAUGCUUAUAACUAAAAAUUCAAAUUACAGAUUCUAAGUGUGAACUUCUAUGAAAGUACUCCAGUGACAAAGGGGCAACUUCCAAGGAAAAAAAUUACAUUUUAUUCUUUCCCUACCGACGAGCUGAUGCAAGACAAAUGCCUAUCAUCAGUUCUUUAUUCCAACAGUUGUCUAUGUCUGAAUUUCAAACCCAUUUGUAUGCUGGUCUUUGUUAGGAGCAGUAAAUUCUUCUCUGUUGCCAAGAAAACCUUA